rnacentral:rRNA from 1 species
UACGGAGGAUCCAAGCGUUAUCCGGAUUUAUUGGGUUUAAAGGGUGCGUAGGCGGCUUAUUAAGUCAGGGGUGAAAGACGGUGGCUCAACCAUCGCAGUGCCUUUGAUACUGAUGAGCUUGAUUACACUAGAGGUAGGCGGAAUGAGACAAGUAGCGGUGAAAUGCAUAGAUAUGUCUCAGAACACCGAUUGCGAAGGCAGCUUACUAUGGUGUCAAUGACGCUGAGGCACGAAAGCGUGGGGGAUCAAACAGG